CCUUUUAAUCAUUUUCCCUUACAGACGUAACGGAAAAAUAACAUGGCAUUUAAUGGUGGGUUAGCUGUAAUUGUAACUGUCCUUUUUAACCCUAAACAGCCCUGGGCAGUAGAAGAAAAAGAGAAAAAGAAGAAUAAGAGAAGAAACAAAAAAGAAGACGAAGAAGAAGAAGAAGAAUAAGAGAAAAUGGAAGGAGCUUUGUAUCAUUAAUUCCCAAUGGUCAAAAUCCGGGAACUCAAAGAUGACUACGCUUCCACGGCAUUGACACCUCCAUGGCCAACGCCCUCCACCGCAUAAGGGAUAUCUUCAGAACAGAUUUGGCUGCUGCAACCUCUUCAAUUGAAGGCCUUGGUGGAAGUGAUCUAUAAAGUCUCAUGAUUUCUUGUACUGUUUCUACAAAAACUGGUGAUGGAUCUUGCUUUGACAUCACUGCCAUGGCUAUGGUGGUUUUUGGUUUUAGACGAGGAAAAGAGAUUGUUUUAGAAAGUUUAUCUCAAGCGUUGGCGAAGGGUCUUUGGUCUUCAUAAUCAAAUACUAUAUGGAUUAGACUAAUUAUUUAUAAUAGUUGGCUACCAUUUCUGUAUUUUCUAUACAAUUAUAUUUUCAUCAUAAUGCAUAUUAUUUUCCUAAUUAUAAAGUUCCCUGGACCUUCUUAAACAAUGGGCUAAUACGCCUCUCCUCUGUCUACAAGUCUACUUCCGCCUUUACUCCACUACAAGUCUACAAGGGAUGCGGGUGGCUUGGGGUUAUUCAGCAACUGUUGUUGUGGCCCUUAAUUUGUAGCCAUUGUUCUGUUGUGGGAGAAAGAAGAUGAAGAGAAAGAAGAGAAGAACAAGAAAAAAUAAAAGAAGCAUAAAGAGAAAGAGGUUGAGGGAGAAGAAGAUGAAGAGAAAGAUGAGAAGAAAAAGAAAAAAAAUCAUUUUGACCAAUCAUCUUUUCUUUUCUUGUUUGACCCUUUGACUACUCGUUCAACGUGGCAAGUUAACUGGUCACAUCAGCUAUUUCAUUAAAUUUGUGACGGAAAAUGUUAAUAAGUGACUGAUUUGUCACUUUUCAAUAACGUUAGUAAUUGUUUUGUUAUUUUUUCAAA